rnacentral:rRNA from 1 species
ACGGAGGGUGCGAGCGUUGUCCGGAAUCAUUGGGCGUAAAGGGCGCGUAGGUGGCCCGGUCAGUUCGUGGUGAAAGCGCGGGGCUCAACUCCGCGUCGGCCAUGAAUACUGCUGGGCUUGAGCACUGUAGAGGCAGGCGGAAUUCCGGGUGUAGCGGUGGAAUGCGCAGAUAUCAGGAGGAACACCGGUGGCGAAGGCGGGUCUCUGGGCCGAUACUGACGCUGAGGAGCGAAAGCGUGGGGAGCGAACAGGA